UCUUUUUUGUUUGUUUGUGUUUUGAGAUGGAGUCUUGUUCUGUGGCCAGGCUAGAGUACAAUGGCGCAAUCUUGGCUCACUGCAACCUCCGCCUCCCAGGUUCAAAAAAUUGUGCCUCAGCCAGCCAAGUAGCUGGGAUUACAGGUGUGUGCCACGAUGCCUGGCUAUUUUUUGUGUUUUUAGUAGAGGCAGGGUUUCAAUAUGUUGGCCAGGCUGGUCUCGAACUCCUGACCUCAGGUGAUUCACCCACCUCGGCCUCCCAAAGUGCUGGGAUUACAGGUGUAAACCACGGCGCCCGGCCUCAUGAGGGUCUAUUCUUUACAUUCACCAUGGUCUGAUGGUUGCUACAUGUUUGUCUAUGAUUUUUUUUUUCUAUUAUCAGGUGUCUUGGCCGUUUUAUGCCCCAUGAUGAAAGGGCCAAAGGUUUUCAUAUGAGUAAAAGAAAAAAGCAGAAAUGUGAAACCUACAAUUAAGCUAAACAAAAAUCAAUUGGAAAAGUACAGGUUGGGGGGAGAAGAGUUGGCUACAUAUUUAUGUUGGGGGAGGAGGCAGUACAUUUUAGCUAUGUAUUCAAACAGCUAAUAGUUUAAUGUUGCUGCUUGUAAACUUAAUUUUAGGCUGCAUUAAUAAAAGCGUAGUCUCCAAAACAAGAAA